GCACCUUUAGCUCAGUUGGUUAGAGCGUUCGAUUCACAUUCGAAAGGUCAUAGGUUCGAAUCCUAUAAGGUGCA
rnacentral:tRNA from 1 species